rnacentral:rRNA from 1 species
UACGUAGGGGGCAAGCGUUGUCCGGAAUCAUUGGGCGUAAAGAGCGUGUAGGCGGCCCGGUAAGUCCGCUGUGAAAGUCCAGGGCUCAACCCUGGGAUGCCGGUGGAUACUGUCGGGCUCGAGUCCGGAAGAGGCGAGUGGAAUUCCUGGUGUAGCUGUGAAAUGCGCAGAUAUCAGGAGGAACACCAAUGGCGAAGGCAGCUCGCUGGGACGUGACUGACGCUGAGACGCGAAAGCGUGGGGAGCAAACAGG